GACGAACGCUGGCGGCGUGCUUAACACAUGCAAGUCGAACGGAAAGGCCCUGCUUUUGUGGGGUGCUCGAGUGGCGAACGGGUGAGUAACACGUGAGUAACCUGCCCUUGACUUUGGGAUAACUUCAGGAAACUGGGGCUAAUACCGGAUAGGAGCUCCUGCUGCAUGGUGGGGGUUGGAAAGUGUCGGCGGUUGGGGAUGGACUCGCGGCUUAUCAGCUUGUUGGUGGGGUAGUGGCUUACCAAGGCUUUGACGGGUAGCCGGCCUGAGAGGGUGACCGGCCACCUUGGGACUGAGAUACGGCCCAGACUCCUACGGGAGGCAGCAGUGGGGAAUAUUGCACAAUGGGCGGAAGCCUGAUGCAGCAACGCCGCGUGCGGGAUGACGGCCUUCGGGUUGUAAACCGCUUUCGCCUGUGACGAAGCGUGAGUGACGGUAAUGGGUAAAGAAGCACCGGCUAACUACGUG
rnacentral:rRNA from 1 species